CAAUAACUGCACAUUGACAUUGGAGGAAGCGCUGGCUGACUGCCCCGAACAAUGGAAAAGUGAAGAAUCUCCCAGAGGACAGCUGUCUGCCACAGGGCAGAACGUCUCCUUCAAGCAGGCAUCUUCAGGGUAUGUACGUCUACAGGCGGCGGCAGGGCAGCGGCAGCAUCGCCAGGGGCAGGCAUUACGCGCGACUACGCGGUCAAUUGGUAAUUGGAUUAGGGCAGCCGGGCAACCCUUCCGCCCAGCAUCCAGCAUUCAGUGAGCCAUGCAGCGGCAGUGACGAUGAGCCGAUGUUGACCCUGUGACCCGACGGCGACCCCUUCCUUGGCUGUGGGCUAAUCAAGAGGGAGCUGGCCCUUUUGCUGCCUUCGCUGCCAAGGAAAACACGGAAAUUAAUUAAGAAAACAGAAAGUAUCCGUAUCUGACAGCAGACGCAGCCGCAGCCACAGCAACAGCCACAGCGUCAGCCUCAUCGCAGCUCUCGGCUUCCCCGGCAUCCCUGGCUUUCCCGGCUCUAGGCUGUCCAUCAAGGAUGAUCCCCGCAUGGCUGCGUACCCGCGGCAGUGUCCCAUCUAGUGUCCCGUAGCGGAUUUUUAUUACAUGAAUUUACAUAUUCCCUGACCUGACCCUUUUACC